ACAUGCUGCCGCACUUCCAUCAUGGCCGCACGCUCCUCCGCGCCCCAAUCGUCACCGCCGACGGGGAUCCUCGAGCACCAUCAACCUACCACGCAGUCCAUGGCCGCCUCCCCACGCAGUCCCCUUCUUGCUGCCGACGCGAAUCCGGUCAACCCCUUCCUCCUCUCCUUCUCUUCCUCCAGUGAUCUCCGCUGGAUCCUGCCGCCGUCAACACCAAGCAUCGGAGUCACGGACCUGCAAUCCAUCGCCGCGCCUAUCUUCUUCUCACUGCGGCUGCUCCACAUCGCAUCCGCCCACCGUCGUGACGCCCCCAACCCUUCUGCUUUCCCCAACCCCUGCUGGUUGACCUUCUCGCAAAGGCCACCUCGACCUUCUCGAGGAAGGUUACUUCCGAGGAUCCGGCUCGCGAGGUGCACACCAUCUCAUCCUAGUUGUUGUUGUGUGAAGAUCUGCCGGCCUGAAUACGCAAGAGCAAGAACAGAGGGAAAUACGGAGCAUGAGUAUAACAUGGACUGCUCUCACGCGCCGCCAUGGACUGCUCCGCUGCCAUCCCCAUCGUGAUGUGUCCACGGGGCUCCCUGACCCAUCGACGGGGACAGCUGCAUGUAGCCCCCUGCUCCUCAACUCUGAUGGCCGCGCAGGCAGCCAUCCCUCCAGGAGGCCGACACCAUGCUGGCUACUUGCUUCCACUCACAUGCUUGCGAAUGGAUGGUGCAUGUGCUUCUCUGUGUGUAUGCUCAUCCAUGAUUAAACAUGGAGUAUUCUCCGUCUGUGAUUAGCUACUCUGGUUCAUGCGUACAUCUUAUAUUUGAUGCUAACAUGUGCCUAAUGCAGACCGCUAAAAAAGACAGAUCAUUCAGUUAUAAACAUCAUUAUUCUAGGAUAGUUAACUAACCAAAAUAAGACAUGCACAAUUCACUCUAAAAACGACAAUUCAUUUUACUGAUGAGCAUCAG